GAGAGUGAAGCUCUUGACAUCGUGAAACUUCUGCUGGAGCGAGGAGCCACCGUGGACCAGCAGGAUAAUCUCGGCAAAAACUGCAACACGGUCGGAACGCCGGUCGGCACGUGCGUCUCGUCAGCUGAUUGCACACGUCUGAACACGUUACUGCCAGCUGAGAGUGUAAACAACAACACGACCAGAACGGCGAAUCUGCUCGUGAAUUUCGCUUGCGGCAGUGUGGAUGGUGUUAUCCAGGUGUGCUGUCCGCGAGAGUAAUGUCAUCCAUGUAAUCCCACUGAUGUCAUAUUUCCAUAAGAUAAGAUAGGAAAACAGAUAUAUGUUUCGGUGAAUUUUAGAACGUACAGUGAUCUGGCAGUAACUUUGUUGUUGAUGUCUGUGUGCUUAUAAGUGUUUUUUUUUUUUUUUUUUUCUAAGUGUGAAGUAAGAGGGAUAUGUAAUUUUGGUGUUAAUAUGAUAGCAAAAGGUGAUUGAUAAUAUGUAAUAUUACACACAUAAUAGUCAUAAUAUAUAUUUGUGUAUUUGUUUGUGUGUGUGUGUGUGUGUGUGUG